UCUGGGAAGCCAGGCCUCCCGGGAGUCUCAGAGUCUCUCAUUCAGAGCUACCUGUUUACAGCUCAGCGACCAGAAGGACCUAAACAAUCCUAUAUUGUACACCCAGUGCUUCCUUAAACUUAGGCUUCCACAAAGGCAUGUUUUCAGAAGCUGGGCAGAAUAAGUUAAAGGCUGGCUUUAUACUCAUUAAGUGUUCUGCUUGUACUGUCUUCUAAUUACAUGGCAGGGCAACAAUGUCUUUUUUUUGUCAAUGGAGUGCUUUGGAGCAGUUAAUUUGGUGCCUGUACUAAAUGCCCCCAAACAGUAAUUAGUGUGGAAGGAACCCUAAUUUCCUCGGCAGCUUUCCUCUCCAUUUACUUCCCUUGUUUUCACAUAGGCUUGGAUGAGCCUCUAUAAUGAAAUUACCUCAUUAAUGCCUUUAUUCUUUCAGAGUAACUCAUUCAAGAUCUACCAUUUAGUUUUAAUUUAAUGCUGUCAAAAGCAAAAGGUGCAUUCAUGUCUUUGAUUAGUGCAUUUUUUUCUUCUCUAAAGAGUGGACAGAUUUAAAUUAUUAAGAUGGCAAGUAGUGAGUUAUAAUUGGAUACAAGCAGCACUUCAGUGAAUAUUAAAUGCUUUCAAAGCCUGGCCUAUCUGCUCUGCUGACUAUUAACUGUGUCCAGUGAGUUCUUCUAUGAGGUUUGAAUUAACAGCACAUUAACUACUGGAAGCAAAUGAAGUUUAAUUUUGUUUAUAAAAAACGGUGCAGUUGCAUUUACCGAUGUGACAUUUCCUUGCAGUGGAGCUCAAUUUGCCCCAUUAUCCUACCCUGACCUCGUUGCAUGGUUAGUCCUGCUCAAACGGGGGCUCAUCCUGGGCUCAGGCUUGCAAAGUCUGUCUGGAGACCUACCUGGGUAUGGCUGGGAGGAUAAGACCUGGGAAAUUCUAAAUAUCGUCACCUUAGCUGCAUUUAACCACCUCGAUAAUUUGCUUACAGGGUAGAGGGGCACAAAGUGCAUUUAUGAUUAAUGGGGAAUGCAUGGGCACAGACCGAACAGGGAGGAUUUAACACAGGAUCAUCGAUCUCUAAUUGCUUCUCUCUUCCCUCCUUUCGGUCACAACUGAUGCUACCGACUACCCGAGAUGCAUUGGAGAAACACGGAUGGCAGAAGACUUCUGCAACCUGCUUGGCACGUGCAGUUUAGGACUAAUUAAUUAGAGUUUAUUGGCUGGCUGAAGUGCUCCCAGGGGUCUAAGAUCAGUCACAUACUUGGGCCAGGACCUCUGCAGAGCCCCAUGCUCCCAGGGCCUUUCAGUUUGGAACAUCUCUGAGGAUGGAGAUCCCCCAGUCUCUCUGGACUCCCAUUCCAAGGGUUUCCCGGCUCCAGAGUGAUGUUUUCCUCAGUAAUUGGCAGGGAAUUAUUAUAUAUUCAAUAUUAUUAUAUAGUCAAUAUUAUUAUAUAUUCAGCAUUAUUAUAUAUUCAAUGCAAGCAUCAGCUGCAAUAGGAUGACUUGAACUGAUAAUAUUUUAUAAAUAACAUCUAUUAUUUAUUAUAAUUUUAUAAUUAUAUGAUAACAUAAUUAUUACUAUUAUAAUGUAUUAUGCUUAUUAUAAAUAUUGGAUAUAUUUAGUGCGUGUUACAUAGGAUCCACGCACGCUAUAUUACACACCCGUUACGACUGCAAUCGCAAGGCACGCCCAGAGAAAUGUCGUUUAUCUUUAGAAUCUUUCCCAUCAGUGCUGUAGAAGCAUUCUGGGUUUGGAUUAAUUCCUCCCGGCGCUAGGGGGAGAAAACAUUUGUAUUUAUUUGUUCCCCGGCAGAGCGAGGUCAGGGGAAUUUUGAAGGGUUUUCUGAAUGUGUGGCUUUCCCUGUGAACUGUGUCUCACUGCCCUCUCCUGGCUGGAUUAUCCAUGGACACCCCACUGUCAUCUUCCUUAGGUUCUUGCAUUUAUGUUCUGGUCAGCGUCAUCUCUUUGAAUUCCCACCCCUUUUGGCACAACCGAACACCACGACUCCAUCGUCCUGAAGGAACCUUGGCAUUGUCCUCUUCAUCUUGGCCCUUUUCCAGCAGACAUGGGUAGGACCGUGCUGUCAGAAAUGUCAUCCCCCGGGCACUCGUCCUCUUCCAGGGAGAGGAAAAGUGUUCCCGGACCCACAUCUCCCACCUCGUUCAGCCUGGGGUCCGUCCAGCACUCGAGAGAGCUGCUGGGAGUUGAAAUUCUCCCCGUUCCCCUGCCUGGGAAAUCCUGCUCCCAGCUCCUGUCUCCUCACCUCCUGGAAAAAGAGGAGCUGCAUCCCACUGGGCGUUGCCGGUUCUGUGUGGUGUCCCGCCCUUCGGGCGGUGGGAUGGCUCGAGCAGCUCCGGAGACUGUAUUUUCCUUGCCCAUUUUCUGUUUUCCUGCAUUUCCCCGGACAGGGGGGAAGGCGGGGGCCAAGGAGCCCCGUCCGGCACCGUGCGGCACUAGGGGGUCCUCGCGGGAGCGGGGCGGCUUGACCGCAGCGGAGCCCACGUGGCUUUGCUCGCCCCCGGUGCCACCGACCCCGCCACCCGAAUUGUAAGGAAAAAAUAAGAAAGAAAGGGUAAGAGUAGAUAGCGGAGAGGAAAUUGCCACCCGUGGAUCCAGAGGUAAGAUUUGAUUGUUGCAGAUUAGAUAUUCAUCGGUGGAAUUAAUGAUCGCAGUUUCGAUCCAUUAGGGUUGGGGCGAGCCUGGGAAACAUAGAGUUCAGUGGGUUAAUAGCCAUUUAAAUUCAGGUGGGAAUGCCCAGGUACCUUCACCGGGAGGGAGUUUUACCCUGUCCGAUGCAGCGCUGGUUCACGUACGGUCCUCUGGUGGGAGGCCCCAGAAAUGAGUCUGGGGGCACUUUGGGGCUCCGAUGGUUUGACACCUUCUUAGACAUGGCGGGUGCCUCUUAGAGAUGGCACAGUCGAGUCAGUGCUGCCUUAUCAGCACGCUUAAGAUUAAGGCAUUUAAUUUUUACGCCUUUAUUUUUAGGCCGGUGUUCCAAGCAUCGCCAUCGGAGCUCGGGAAGGUACCGCCCAAUUGUCGGCGUCAGAUCUGAACUUCCUUCACGCUUACAGUUCUGAUGAGCGACCGUAGGGAAAUCGGUGUCGUCGAUGCACUCUCAGCAGUGCCGUAUGUUUUUACAACUGUCCGGAGACUCGCCGCCGGGAGAGGAUAGAGGUGGCUGCUGCCCACCAGCCUGGGGAUCUGCUUUGGUUCCUGUCUUGUGCCAGGGAAAGGAGGUUUUCAGUUGACAGCGAUUAGAUUCCAGCAGCCUUGUCUGCCGUCCUUGGCUGCCUUGUCCAGCAGCCGAUCCACUCUCCUGUCCCUCCUGCUCCGAGCUCCCGCCCGCCUGGCGCCGACUGUGCAGAGGAGAAUUUGUCCUGCCGGCAGCAGCGGGAGGACACCAGCACUCAUGGCCUGGCACUUGGAUUGUCCCUUUGGGGGAUGCUGCUUGCUGGGAUUUUGAUAAUUCCAUACGUUUGGCUGCUGAAAUUUCCCAGCGCAGGGGCUUUAGCUGACAGGGCAGCACAAAGGUUGUUCUCCAUGUGGUGCCCAGGUUUGGGUUUCAGGAUCAGCUUUGCUAGUUUAGAUGAAUUAUACCCAUGGCCCAAAUUCCCUGCAGAAUUCCUGCUGGAAUAACCUCACAGUGCCUCACAGAGCACGGAUAUGUCCAUGCAAAGCUGUCGCUUUAAUGCCAGCCACGUUAGGAACCAACAGAGGUUCCAAGGAAACUCAUCAGGACUGGAAUGAGGACAGGUUUCUAUUCCACAGAAUUUGCUAUUUCUAACCCUCAUUGCCUCAGCCCCGCCGACGUCUCUGGGGGCCAUGGGACAGAGUUCCCUGGAAUUCAGCUGAUUUCACCCACCCUGAGCUCGGGCUCCAGUUGAUAUUUUAAAUCAGGAGAAGGCGGUGGCCACGCGCGCUCCCAGCCUGUGCCGAGGCAGCCCCUGUGCCCAGGAGCCUGAGGACGGUCACAUGCAGUGGCAAAGCACUUCUUCCUGAGGAGAGAAGCAGCAGCAGCUGGUGGGAGCUUGCAGAGGGGCUGUAGGGGGGGAAGCAGGGGCUGACAAGCUGUCCCUGCUAAUCUGGUGACAGUUGCCAGGUGCUCCCUGAGUAGGAGAAUGCAGACUCAGGUGUGUAAAGGAAUAGUUUGGUAUCUUAAAUAAACUGUUUAUAUAUAGACCGUCAAACCCAGUUCUGAAGGA